UUUAUGGAGAGUUUGAUCCUGGCUCAGGAUGAACGCUGGCGGCGUGCCUAAUACAUGCAAGUCGAGCGAACGGACGAGAAGCUUGCUUCUCUGAUGUUAGCGGCGGACGGGUGAGUAACACGUGGAUAACCUACCUAUAAGACUGGGAUAACUUCGGGAAACCGGAGCUAAUACCGGAUAAUAUUUUGAACCGCAUGGUUCAAAAGUGAAAGACGGUCUUGCUGUCACUUAUAGAUGGAUCCGCGCUGCAUUAGCUAGUUGGUAAGGUAACGGCUUACCAAGGCAACGAUGCAUAGCCGACCUGAGAGGGUGAUCGGCCACACUGGAACUGAGACACGGUCCAGACUCCUACGGGAGGCAGCAGUAGGGAAUCUUCCGCAAUGGGCGAAAGCCUGACGGAGCAACGCCGCGUGAGUGAUGAAGGUCUUCGGAUCGUAAAACUCUGUUAUUAGGGAAGAACAUAUGUGUAAGUAACUGUGCACAUCUUGACGGUACCUAAUCAGAAAGCCACGGCUAACUACGUGCCAGCAGCCGCGGUAAUACGUAGGUGGCAAGCGUUAUCCGGAAUUAUUGGGCGUAAAGCGCGCGUAGGCGGUUUUUUAAGUCUGAUGUGAAAGCCCACGGCUCAACCGUGGAGGGUCAUUGGAAACUGGAAAACUUGAGUGCAGAAGAGGAAAGUGGAAUUCCAUGUGUAGCGGUGAAAUGCGCAGAGAUAUGGAGGAACACCAGUGGCGAAGGCGACUUUCUGGUCUGUAACUGACGCUGAUGUGCGAAAGCGUGGGGAUCAAACAGGAUUAGAUACCCUGGUAGUCCACGCCGUAAACGAUGAGUGCUAAGUGUUAGGG
rnacentral:rRNA from 1 species